rnacentral:rRNA from 1 species
UACGUAGGGGGGCAAGCGUUUGUCCGGAUUUAUUGGGCGUAAAGAGCGUGUAGGCGGUUAUACAGGUCCGCUGUGAAAACUGGAGGCUUAACCUCCAGACGUCGGUGGAAACCGUAUGACUAGAGUCCGGAAGAGGAGAGUGGAAUUCCUGGUGUAGCGGUGAAAUGCGCAGAUAUCAGGAAGAACACCCGUGGCGAAGGCGGCUCUCUGGGGACGGUACUGACGCUGAGACGCGAAAGCGUGGGGAGCGAACAGG